GUUAUCUGAAGUACAAGUAAUCUCGCCUGCUCAAUGAUAAACAGCUGCAGUAACCUGACUGUGCAAAGGUAGCAUAAUAAUUCGCCUUUUAAUUGGAGGCUGGUAUGAACGGUGGAACAAGGAAGACAGUUAUAUACCUUGAACUUAAGUUAUACAUAAAAACGUGGAUAUCGAUUUUUGGGACAAGAAGACCCUAGAAGCUAGGAGGAUCUCUCGGUUGGGGCGACAAGCAAAGAUAAAGAACUUUUUAUUAGUUACUCUAGGGAUAACAGCGUAAUUAAAGUUAAGAGUCCUCAUUUAGGCUUUAGUUUGCGACCUCGAUGUUGAAUUAAAAGGUGAAGGAGCUUUAGUCUGUUCGACUAUUAAAUAUUUACA
rnacentral:rRNA from 1 species